AGCCUGAACGCUGGCGGCGUGGCUAAGACAUGCAAGUCGUACGGGGCCGGCAGCAAUGCCGGCCCAGUGGCGGACGGGUGAGUAAAGAAUCGCUAACGUGCCCCGGAGUCCGGGAUAGCCGAGGGAAACCUCGGGUAAUACCGGGAGACAUUCGCCGCAGGCAUCUGCGGGGACUCAAAGGGAAACCGCUCCGGGAGCGGGCGAUUUCGUAUCAGCUAGUUGGUAGGUAACGGCCUACCAAGGCGACGACGCGUAGCCGGACUGAGAGGUUGGCCGGCCACAUUGGGACUGAGACACUGCCCAGACUCCUACGGGGGGCUGCAGUAACGAAUCUUCCGCAAUGCCCGCAAGGGUGACGGAGCGACGCCGCGUGGGGGGACGAAGGUCCUUCGGGAUGUAAACCCCUGUCGGGGGCCACCGAAGAUCUGGAGGGCCCCAGGAGGAAGGCACGGCUAACUCUGUAGCCCAGGCCAGCCGC
rnacentral:rRNA from 1 species